rnacentral:ncRNA from 2 species
GAUGGCUGCUGGGGGAGUGAUUCACUGAGAGCUCUGUUAGAUUGGAGCGACCCUUGGAACCUGAUCCGGAUUAUACCGGCGUAGGGAAGCGACCUGACAACACC